UAUGGCCACAUCAGAUAGAAACAGCGGUUCUCGUAUGAUCACCGAAGUUAAGCAAGAUCAAGCCUGGUCAGUAUCUAGAUGGAUGACCGCUUGGGUGUGCGAGUGUUGUAA